rnacentral:rRNA from 1 species
GACCCGAAAGAUGGUGAACUAUACUUGAACGGAUUGAAGCCGAAGGAAACUUUGGUGGAAGAUUCACGCAGUGUUAACGUGCAAAUUACUUGUCAUAUUUGAGUAUAGGGGCGAAAGACUCAUCGAACUAUCUAGUAGCUGGUUCCACCUGAAUAUUCCCUUAGGAAGGUCAAAGUAUUAAUAGUAUUGAUUGGUAAAGAUAAUGAUUAGGUGUAAUGGGUGAGUAUAUUCACUCAACAUCUUGUCAAACUAUGAAUAAACAAAGAAGAAUUC